rnacentral:rRNA from 1 species
CCUACGGGAGGCAGCAGUGAGGAAUAUUGGUCAAUGGGCGAGAGCCUGAACCAGCCAAGUCGCGUGAGGGAGUACUGCCCUAUGGGUUGUAAACCUCUUUUGUCGGGGGGCAAAAGCCGGACGUGUCCGGCUGUGAGAGUACCCGAAGCAAAAGCAUCGGCUCACUCCGUUCCAGCGGCCGCGGUAAUACGGAGGAUGCGGGGGUUAUCCGGAUGUAUGGGGUUUAAAGGGUGCGCAGGGGGAGGUGCAAGUCAGCGGUCAAAUUCCGGGGAUCAAACCCGUACUGCCGUUGAAACUGGAUCCCUUGAGGGCGGGAGAAGUAUGCGGAAUGCGUGGUGUAGCGGUGAAAUGCGUAGAUAUCAGGCAGAACUCCGAUUGCGAAGGCAGCAUACCGGCGCGCAACUGACGCGCAUGCACGAAAGCGUGGGUAUCGAACAGGAUUAGAUACCCAAGUAGUC